GUAACAACAAUAUGUUUGAAUAAUGAAUAAUAGUACAAACCAAACUGGAGAAUAUUUCAAGGGGUCCAAUACCAACAUACAACUUCACUAUCAAUAUAUCAUCAUGUGGUACCCUUUUAACCGAUAUAAUGAUAUGUACAAUCAGUUUUUUCUUAACCGGAUACUGGUAACUACAGUAGGGCUAUGAUCUCUUCUAGUUGAAAAUUCUUGGUUCAGCUUCUACACUUGUGUGAACUCCAGUGCAUUUCCGUCCGGGUCCCGAGCAAAUAUUGCUGGUCGCCCUGAUUUG
rnacentral:misc_RNA from 1 species